rnacentral:tRNA from 1 species
GGGUAUAGCUCAGUAGUAGAGCACAUGCUUAGCAUGGACAAGGUCCUUGGUUCAAUUCCCAGUACUUCCA